GCGUCCGUAGCCGGCCUAACAAGUCUCUGGUCAAAUCUCAAGGCUUAACCUUGAGAUCGCUGGAGAUACUGUUAGGCUAGGGGGCGGGAGAGGUUGAGGGUACUUCGCGGGUAGGGGCGAAAUCCUAUAAUCCGCGAAGGACCACCAGUGGCGAAGGCGCUCAACUGGAACGCGCCCGACGGUGAGGGACGAAAGCUAGGGGAGCAAAGGGGAUUAGAUACCCCCGUAGUCCUAGCUGUAAACGAUGCGGGCUAGGUGUUGGGUUGGCUUCGUGCCAACCCAGUGCCGCAGCGAAGGCGAUAAGCCCGCCGCCUGGGAAGUACGGCCGCAAGGCUGAAACUUAA
rnacentral:rRNA from 1 species